rnacentral:rRNA from 1 species
UACGGGGGGAGCAAGCGUUGUUCGGAUUUACUGGGCGUAAAGGGCGCGUAGGCGGCCUCCGCAAGUCAGUUGUGAAAUCUCCGAGCUUAACUCGGAAAGGUCAACUGAUACUGCGGGGCUAGAGUGCGGAAGGGGCAACUGGAAUUCUUGGUGUAGCGGUGAAAUGCGUAGAUAUCAAGAGGAACACCUGCGGCGAAGGCGGGUUGCUGGGCCGACACUGACGCUGAGGAGCGAAGGCGUGGGGAGCGAACAGG